rnacentral:rRNA from 1 species
GAUGAACGCUAGCUACAGGCUUAACACAUGCAAGUCGAGGGGUAACGAGAGGAAAGCUUGCUUUCCUUGUCGACGACCGGCGCACGGGUGAGUAACGCGUAUCCAACCUGCCCCCAACUAGGAAAUAACCUUGCGAAAGUAAGACUAAUACCCUAUAAUUUCCUCAGAUGCCAUCUGACGAGGAAUAAAGAUUUAUCGGUGGUGGAUGGGGAUGCGUCUGAUUAGCUUGUUGGCGGGGUAACGGCCCACCAAGGCAACGAUCAGUAGGGGUUCUGAGAGGAAGGUCCCCCACAUUGGAACUGAGACACGGUCCAAACUCCUACGGGAGGCAGCAGUGAGGAAUAUUGGUCAAUGGGCGGAAGCCUGAACCAGCCAAGUAGCGUGCAGGAUGACGGCCCUAUGGGUUGUAAACUGCUUUUAUACAGGAAUAAAGUUAGCCACGUGUGGUUAUUUGUAGGUACUGUAUGAAUAAGGACCGGCUAAUUCCGUGCCAGCAGCCGCAGUAACAC